CGUGGUGUGGCAGGAAAAUUGUAACCUGGACUCUUGCACUCUCUUACAUAAUGAUCUUUUCCAUUUCUCAGUCUAGGUCAAAAUGCAUGAAGAAUGGGCCACAAUACAGAACGAAGACAAACACCUGCUAGAGGCAGAAAGCAGCUGGGAGAGACAGAGCCUAAGACAGAAAACACUAUGAUUAUCAUAUCUCUCAGUCAACUUACCCAUUAUCCAGACCCAAAUACCAGCAGGACAUGAGGAUCAAAGCAAACCACUGAGGAGGCAGCUGUAUUAUAAGAGAACUGCUUGCUAGAUGCAGCAAACAUUUCAUAAAUUCCUCUCCUUGAAGCAAGUCUGCACAUAAUCUACCCAGAGCCAGGACAAUCAAUGGAUUUCUGAAUUCAUUAGUCUUAUUAUUACAGGAUAACUGUUUUCUCUUCAUAGAGGGGUGGUUGUUGCAAGCCAGCUUGCAAAACAGCUCUUAAUGCUGACCAUUUCUUUCUGGUAAUGCUUUUGCAUUUUUGCUGUGCCACAGCAUGAAAAUGAUUUAAAUCACUUCUACACAGUAUGUUUUUUCUAAAGACUUGGAAUAAACCAACUGACAUAUAUUCAAGUAGGAAGCACUGAAAUAUACUAAAUUCUUCCAGCCAUAAUUACUGCCUACCUACUCAUAUGCUUCCAUGCAUCAAUAUACUGACCAAAUAUUUUCUGGGCUCAAUAACAGCAAAUCAUAAUACUGGAAGCAGAGAUUAUAUCAUUGUACUAGCAUCAUAACACACAGACUAAAAUUACUGUUGUAAAAGAAGGUGCUAAAGAAGAAACAGAUUUCUACCUGCUUUGUGCUGCAUGUGUUGUCUGGAAUUAAAAAUAAGAAUUAUUUUGAUCAAUAAGGCAACAGGUACUUUUAAUUUCUCAUCUUCUUAAAAACUUAAAACAAUACUUCAAAGUAUUUUGUGGAAGUGACACUCAAUUGGUUCAUUGUUUAGUGUUUGCUCUUUGCAAGCUUUAACUAUAAUUCCUUAAAGUUUAGAACCUCAUAAUCUUUAAAGGAGACUGAAAGCAUAAUUCGGAAAAUGUGGCAGAUGAUAAAUUUCACCACAGUGCAAUGCUGUGUAACAAACAUAUGCAACACAAGGAAAAGGGAAUAUAAUUUCUCACUCAUGUCAGAUUAGGGGACAAUUAUCAGACAGAACUGGGAAAGGAGCCUUUGAUUUACUGAGCAAAACCCUUUAAAUAUUUAGAACUAGAUUCUUGUAUAGUUCCUUUGUAUUGUAUCGUCAGCAUGAACAGGCUCUGAACACACAUAUUAAUGGCCUAAGAAGAGCUAAGUAGCCAAGAAGAUGUUUACAUCAGAUUCAGAUAGUAUAAGGACUCUCCUUUUCUGCCAUGGUAUACAGGGAAAAGGGAUGAUGGUCAGGGAUAAAGAAAAUAAACAAGGUGGCACUAUUCUACAGUAAGAAUACUGGAUUUUGUCCCUUGGGGUUAUUUACAGCCAGUUAGAAUUAAUGUCGCCGUCACGCUGCUCCAACCCAGCAGAGGCAAAC